GACGUAGGGGGCCAGCGUUGUUCGGAAUUACUGGGUGUAAAGGGCUCGUAGGUGGCCAACUAAGUCAGACGUGAAAUCCCCAGGCUCAACUUGGGAACUGCGUCUGAUACUGGAUGGCUUGAAUUCGGGAGAGGGAUGCAGAAUUCCAGGUGUAGCGGUGAAAUGCGUAGAUAUCUGGAGGAAUACCGGUGGCGAAGGCGGGUCUCUGGGCAGUAACUGACGCUGAGGAGCGAAAGCGUGGGGAGCGAACAGG
rnacentral:rRNA from 1 species